UACGUAGGCAGCGAGCGUUGUUCGGAAUUACUGGGCGUAAAGAGUGUGUAGGCGGUGCUCUAAGUUCGGUGUGAAAUCUCCUGGCUCAACUGGGAGGGUGCGCCGGAAACUGGAGUGCUUGAGCGUGGGAGAGGAAAGCGGAAUUCCUGGUGUAGCGGUGAAAUGCGUAGAUAUCAGGAGGAACACCUGUGGUGUAGACGGCUUUCUGGACCAUAGCUGACGCUGAGGAGCGAAAGCAUGGGGGAGCGAACAGG
rnacentral:rRNA from 1 species